rfam:Oryza meridionalis cultivar OR44 (W2112) chromosome 8, whole genome shotgun sequence.
AAUAAGUGCAGUUUUGGCAAUGUUCAUGUCUAACGUUUGAUCGUUCGUCUUAUUUGAAAAAAAAUUAUAAUUAGUAUUUUUGUUGUUAUUACAUGAUAAAACAUGAGUAGUACUUUAUGUGUGACUAAUUUUUUUUAAUUUUUUCAUAAAUUUUUCAAAUAAGACGGACAGUUAAAACACUAAAUAUGGAUAUCUGUGGCUGCACUUAUU